GACGAACGCUGGCGGCGUGCCUAAUACAUGCAAGUCGAGCGAACAGAUGAGGCGCUUGCUCCUCUGACGUUAGCGGCGGGCGGGAGAGUAACACGUGGAUAACCUACCUAUAAGACUGGGAUAACUUCGGGAAACCGGAGCUAAUACCGGAUAAUCUAUUGAACCGCAUGGUUCAAUAGUGAAAGACGGUUUUGCUGUCACUUAUCGAUGGAUCCGCGCCGCAUUAGCUAGUUGGUAAGGUAACGGCUUACGAAGGCAACGAUGCGUAGCCGACCUGAGAGGGUGAUCGGCGACACGGGAGCUGGGACGCGCUCCAGGCUCCUGAGGGAGGGCGCAGUCGGGAAUCUGACGCAGUGGGCGGGAGCCUGGCGGAACGGCGGCGCGUGAGUGAUGACGAUCUUCGGAGCGUAAUACUCUGUUAUUGGGGGUAAACCAAUGUGUAAGUAGCUGUGCACGUCGUGACGGUACCUGAUCAGAAAGCCACGGCUAACUACGUG
rnacentral:rRNA from 1 species